CUGACUGACCGAUAGUGAACCAGUACCGUGAGGGAAAGGCGAAAAGAACCCCGGCGAGGGGAGUGAAAAAGAACCUGAAACCGUGUACGUACAAGCAGUGGGAGCACAGAGCAAUCUGUGUGACUGCGUACCUUUUGUAUAAUGGGUCAGCGACUUAUAUUCUGUAGCAAGGUUAACCGAAUAGGGGAGCCGAAGGGAAACCGAGUCUUAACUGGGCGUUAAGUUGCAGGGUAUAGACCCGAAACCCGGUGAUCUAGCCAUGGGCAGGUUGAAGGUUGGGUAACACUAACUGGAGGACCGAACCGACUAAUGUUGAAAAAUUAGCGGAUGACUUGUGGCUGGGGGUGAAAGGCCAAUCAAACCGGGAGAUAGCUGGUUCUCCCCGAAAGCUAUUUAGGUAGCGCCUCGUGAAUUCAUCUCCGGGGGUAGAGCACUGUUUCGGCAAGGGGGUCAUCCCGACUUACCAACCCGAUGCAAACUGCGAAUACCGGAGAAUGUUAUCACGGGAGACACACGGCGGGUGCUAACGUCCGUCGUGAAGAGGGAAACAACCCAGACCGCCAGCUAAGGUCCCAAAGUCAUGGUUAAGUGGGAAACGAUGUGGGAAGGCCCAGACAGCCAGGAUGUUGGCUUAGAAGCAGCCAUCAUUUAAAGAAAGCGUAAUAGCUCACUGGUCGAGUCGGCCUGCGCGGAAGAUGUAACGGGG
rnacentral:rRNA from 1 species